rnacentral:rRNA from 1 species
AACGAACGCUGGCGGCAUGCCUAACACAUGCAAGUCGAACGAGAACCUCCGGGGUCUGGUGGCUCACGGGUGCGUAACGCGUGGGAAUCCGCCCGUAGGUUCGGCAUAACAGUUAGAAAUGACUGCUAAUACCGGAGGAUGACGUUAAGUCCAACGAUCUAUCGCCUGAGGAUGAGCCCGCGUAGGCUUAGCUAGUUGGUGUGGUAUAGGCGCACCAAGGCGGCGAUGCUUAGCUGGUCUGAGAGGAUGUUCAGCCGCACUGGGACUGAGACACGGCCCAGACUCCUACGCGACGGAGCAGUAGGGAAUAUUGGGGGAGGGGCGCUAGUCUGACACAGCCGUGCCGCGGGAGUCGUGCAGGGCGUUGGGUUGUAAAGCCGUUUUAGCCGGGGUGAGAAUGACGGUAACGGGAGAAUAAGCCCCGGCUAACUCCGUG